GAAUACGGGAGAGACCGCAAGGCGCCGAAGGUGAAAGAGGCACAAACUCUCAGGCAAAAGGACCGUAUUU
rnacentral:ncRNA from 2 species